rnacentral:rRNA from 1 species
AGUGAACGCUGGCGGCAGGCCUAACACAUGCAAGUCGAACGGCAGCACAAGAGAGCUUGCUCUCUGGGUGGCGAGUGGCGGACGGGUGAGGAAUGCAUCGGAAUCUGCCCAUUUGUGGGGGAUAACCUCGGGAAACCGGGACUAAUACCGCAUACGACCUACGGGUGAAAGCAGGGGAUCUUCGGACCUUGCGCAGAUGGAUGAGCCGAUGCCGGAUUAGCUAGUUGGAGGGGUAAAGGCCCACCAAGGAGACGAUCCGUAGCUGGUCUGAGAGGAUGAUCAGCCACACUGGGACUGAGACACGGCCCAGACUCCUACGGGAGGCAGCAGUGGGGAAUAUUGGACAAUGGGCGCAAGCCUGAUCCAGCCAUGCCGCGUGUGUGAAGAAGGCCUUCGGGUGGUAAAGCACUUUUGUUGGGAAAGAAAAGCAGCCGGUUAAUACCCGGUUGUCAUGACGGUACCCAAAGAAUAAGCACCGGCUAACUUCGU